AGAGUUUGAUCAUGGCUCAGAACGAACGUUGGCGGCGUGGAUUAGGCAUGCAAGUCGAACGAGAACCAUUGGGGAACUGAUGGGGAAAGUGGCGAAAGGGGCAGUAAUGCAUGGGUAACGUACCCUGAGGACCGGGAUAGCUAUCCUAACGGGAGGUAAUACCGGGCGAUGUAGCGAGGUCGCAUGAUCUUGCUACCAAAUGAAUUUCGCCUUGGGAGCGGCUCAUGUGAUAUUAGCUAGUUGGUGAGGUAACGGCUCACCAAGGCUGAGAUGUCUAGCGGGUGUGAGAGCACGACCCGCGCCACUGGCACUGAGACACUGGCCAGACUCCUACGGGAGGCUGCAGUCGAGGAUCUUCGGCAAUGGGCGCAAGCCUGACCGAGCGACGCCGCGUGUGCGAUGAAGGCCUUCGGGUUGUAAAGCACUGUCGAGGGGGAGGAAGCCGAAAGGUUGACCUAUCCCUGGAGGAAGCACGGGCUAAGUUCGUGCCAGCAGCCGCGGUAAGACGAACCGUGCGAACGUUGUUCGGAAUCACUGGGCUUAAAGGGCGCGUAGGCGGCUUAUCAAGUCCGGGGUGAAAUCUUUCGGCUUAACCGGAAAAGUGCCUUGGAUACUGAUGAGCUUGAGUGAGAUAGGGGCAGCUGGAACUUCCAGUGGAGCGGUGAAAUGCGUUGAUAUUGGAAGGAACUCCGGUGGCGAAAGCGAGCUGCUGGAUCUCUUCUGACGCUGAGGCGCGAAAGCUAGGGGAGCGAACGGGAUUAGAUACCCUAGUAGUCC
rnacentral:rRNA from 1 species